UCGACUCCAUUGUAAACUAAUACAUGGCGAGGAUUUUACAUUCUCGGCUCGUUAAACCAGAUCAACAAUGAUGUACUAGUCUGCAGAUAAUAUUCGUGAUGCUGAAAUGGAAGACAAAAAGCUUUGACAGCAAGAGGGAAAAAAGGCAUUUCAAGAAGCGAGUAUAUUUAUAGACACCCAGCAUGAAGAAUCCUAUUGGUGAAUUGAUACUCAACUUCAUCGGAAACAUUUACUGGCAGAACAAAAGCCCAAUUUAGUGAAAAGCCAUUUUGCCAUCCCAUAGAAAUGCCAUUUAUACUCUGAGAAAUAUUGGCGAAAUAAAUGUGUAGGAGGCUAGGAGCCACUUUCUUCCUUUCCACGUCACUUCAAGUUAGGAAGACGGAGCUGUUGCUGCCUGUCGUGAUGGUACCAUUCAAUUACGACGCCAUUAGCAUUCGACUCGGGCGGCGCAGGGUACUAUAGGCAGUGAUUUUUUCAACAUCUCCGACGACGUGCUUUGCAACUCCUUAUCAAAAGAGUUGCCCUGGGCGACCCGUUCAGCCUGGCAGCCUAAUAAGCCUCCUUGAGCUCGAGUGGAAAUUUAGCCGGUCUCUUUCUAGCUCUUUGGCUCCUUAUUUAUUGGCGAUGGAAGCAAAUAAAAGUAGGAAGAAAUUCCCUUCCAACCGCCAGCGCAGAGCGGAGCCUUGAAGGAUCGACGGUAUACGAGUUGGAAAAGGCCAUCACCAUCGGCCAUUACGACGGCAGGAUGUCGGUCGAGAGGAAAUGGGAAACCCUAUUACACACACUAGGAAACCAUCGGAAUGACGCUGGGGGAUGGUCAGCGUCGGGCAUAUCGAAUCUCGUCCAGCUCCUCUUUGAUCCGCUUCUCCGCAUCCCCACGAUUGACGUGAGGAACGAGCGGGAGCGAAAAUUUUGAUUUUCCCGUGUCGCCGAGGUGUUUGUUCUUCCUACGCGUCGUUCCUGUCGGGAUUCCCACACUCGGCGGAAGGAAAGACAACAACAACCUCCAAAAUAAAAAUGAAGAAAAUGGCAGCGCCGGCGCAGUUGACAUUACUCCUCCUCCCUUUCCCUUUGGGGUUGGAAGUUUGUAUCUGGCUGGUUCUUCUUCUUCUUUUCUCUCGGCGACGAUGAUGGUGAUAUCCCCGUCCACACACACACACACACACGGGAAAAAGAGAGAAAAAAAAAACGGUCGGGAAGGAGAGAGAGGAGCGCGCAGCAUCCCAGUCCCGGAAUAUCCGCGACUGCACGCACCUUGCGAGCGGGUAGUCGGUUGGCGUAAGGUGGGCCAGCAGGAUCCUUGCCUUUUGUCCUCCCGCUCGGAACUCCUUUCACUUUCUCCUUUCUCUCCUUUUCUCAUUAAUUCUUUCUCUCCUAUCUUACUAAAGCAACUCAUUUUCUCAUUUCUAUUUUCAUCUGAAUUUCCGUUUGGGUUUUUGGUUGUUUUUUUAAAUUUCGAAUUUACCCGCCGUUUUUUUCUUUUUUCCCCCGAAAGGAGAAAUUUAUUUGAAUGUCUUCGACACCGAGUCGUUCGUCGUUGACGGCCACUUGACACGUCGGGGACCGUUCAAUAAAUUUCGAUCCUUUUUUCCCCCACAUCCCUCGCCAAUCCCAAAUUCGAUCGGUUUUAAAUCCGCACAGAAAUUUAAAAAUAGGAAUUUAAUUCGGUGUAAAAAAAAAGGUUAGUGGUUUUGGUGCUGGCCGGGCUGGUUGCGAGAGAGAGUUGAAGCGGAUGACCGGACAAGUGGAGACAUCCGGAGAACAAGAUCAUCGUCGCUGCCAGCCAUGAAGAAGAAAUUGUUGUGUCGCUCCUGGCGAUGGCUGAGGCUGUCGGCCGCCGUGUUUUUCGUGAUGGUGACGGCCGCCUCCGGCCAGUUGGCCUUCACUUUCCAGCAGAACCACCCGCCGCAGCAGCAGCAGCCGGAGCGGGAGAGCGAGUACGCCCACCACCUGAUCCGCAUUCCGGGCGACAUUGUCUUUGGCGGAUUGUUUCCCAUGCACGAGCACCUGGUGCUGACGGACCACGGCGGCGGCGGAGGAGGCGCGGCUGCCGGACUCGGCGGCGGUGGCCUGGAAUUCCCCUGCGGAGCCAUCAAGGAGGAGAAGGGCAUCCAGCGACUGGAAGCCAUGCUCUACGCUCUGGAUCUCAUCAACGACGACCCGCACAUCCUGCCCAACAUCACCAUCGGCGCCGUCAUCCUCGACACUUGCUCCAGCGACACUCACGCCCUCGACCAGUCGAUGGAAUUCGUCCGAUCCUACAUGAACAAGGACGCGUCCGAGUACCAGUGCGAAUCGGGAGACGCUCCGCGCUACGUGCCCCACAAGCCCAUCACGGGCGUGAUUGGCGCCAGUUUCUCGACAGAGUCCAUCAUGGUGGCCAACAUCCUCCGCCUCUUCAAGAUUCCGCAAAUCAGCUACGCUUCAACCAGCGCCGAACUGUCUGACAAGUCGCGUUUCGAGUAUUUCAGCCGCGUCGUCCCGCCCGAUAACUUCCAGGCCCAGGCCCUUGUGGAAAUGGUCCGCCAACUCGGCUGGAAGUACGUCUCCACCGUGGCCGUCGAAGGCGACUACGGAGAAAAGGGUAUCGCUUCGUUCGUGACGCUGGCCGAGGCCGCCGGAAUUUGCAUCGCCGUGUCGGAGAAGAUUCUGAGACGGGCGGAAGACGCCGAUUACGAUCGCAUCAUCGAGCGGCUCUCGCAGAAAUCCAGCGCCCGCGGAGUCGUCAUGUUCGCCGACGAGGACGAAACCAGGCGGAUGUUGGCGGCCACGAUGCGUCUGAACAAGACGGGCCAAUUCCUUUGGGUCGGCAGCGACUCGUGGGGAGCUAAAUUGCAUCCGGUGCGCGAUCAAGAGUUUGCAGCCGAAGGAGCCAUUACCAUCCUGCCCAAAAGAUCCUCAUUGGCCGGAUUCGACGCUUAUUUCAAAGCUCUCCGGCCCAAGACGGCCAAAGUGUGCGGCAGUGUCGGCGGCGGAUCGGCUAAUCACAACGGAGGCGGAGGUGGUGGUGGACCUGCUGGCGGAUUCGCGUCAGGUGCGGCCAGUUUCAACGCCAGCGGCAACGGCGAGAAUCAAUACUAUCGCAACGCUGUCAAGGGCUCGAGGAUCUACAACUGCCGCAAUCCGUGGUUCCGCCUAUUCUGGGAACAGCAUUUCAAAUGCAGGUUCAAUUCCAGCUCAUCCGCCGCAUCCGGACAUUCUUCGUCAACUUUGCCCGAGUGCAAAGGCGGAGACAAGCUCACCUACUACGAGCAAGAGGGACUGGUUCCUUUUGUCGUGGAUGCCGUUUACGCCAUGGCUCACGCCGUUCACCGGAUGAUCGCCGACGUCUGCGGACACGACGCCCGCGAGCUCUGCGACGAGCUCAAACCGGCGCCCUCCGGCAGAAACUUGCUCAAGUACAUCAGAAACGUCAAUUUUAUCGGUCCUCAGGGUCAGCCGGUCCGGUUCAACAAGGACGGCGACGCCUACGGCAGCUACAGCUUCUAUCAGUAUCAGCGUCACGGCAGCAAGUACGACUACGUGCGCAUCGGUGAUUGGAGCGCUUCGUUGGUCCUCAAUAUGAGUAUGCUGGCCUGGCCCAAUAGCACCAGAGGGACCAUCCCCAGGUCCAUUUGCAGCGACUCGUGCCCCAACGGCUACAUCCGAAACUUCCAGGAUCAAUGCUGCUGGAGUUGCGUGUCGUGUCGCGAGGAUAGCUACUCGUUCAACGACACAUGCGUGGCCUGCGCUCCUGGCUACGCUCCCAAUCGCGACUUCAACGGAUGCGAUAAGAUUCCGGCCGAGCAUUUGACCUGGGACAGCCCCUGGGCCAUUGUUCCGCUUGUUUUCACGGCCCUGGGCGUCACGGCCACCCUCUUCACGCUCACCGUCUUCUUGCGUUACAAUAGCACUCCGAUGAUUAUGGCGUCCGGAAGGGAAUUGUGCUACCUGCUGCUGACUGGCAUCCUCCUCUGCUACUUGAUGGCAAUCCCGAUCCUGGCCAAGCCCAACGUGUUCACCUGCAGCCUCCUGCGCGUCGGCCUGGGCUUCGCCCUCUGCCUCUGCUACAGUUCCAUCCUGACUAAGACAAACCGGAUCUCUAGGAUCUUCAACCGCGGGUCCAAGGCCGGCAUCAAGCGGCCGUCGUACACGUCGCCCAAGUCGCAGAUCGUCAUCUGCUGCGGCCUGGCCUCGAUCCAGCUAGGCGGCAGCCUGGUCUGGCUCAUGUUCGAGCGACCCAGCACCAAGGAGGUGCACCCGCAGCCGCUGACGGCCAUCCUGACGUGCGGCGUCAGCAAUUUGUCGCUGGUCCUCUCGCUCCUCUACAACAUGCUCCUCAUCAUCCUGUGCACUUUCUACGCCUUCAAGACCCGCAAGAUCCCCGAGAACUUUAACGAGGCCAAGUACAUCGGUUUCACCAUGUACAGCACCUGCAUCGUCUGGCUGGCCUUUGUGGCCAUCUACUUUGGCACCUACAACGACUACAAGAUCCAGACGGCCACUCUGUGCGUUUGCGUCAACAUUAGCGCAUCAGUAGCCCUGGGCUGUCUCUUUGUCCCCAAGGUGUACAUCGUCCUCUUCCAGCCGUACAAGAACGUCCGCACGCCCGGAAGCGGGGUUCAACGAAGUGGAGAUCACCGGGGGAUGAACAAGUUCAGCACCAGUGGCGGUGUGAGCGUGGGCGGCGGCGGCGCUGCGACUCCCAGCAACAGCCAGCAGCCGUUGGCCAGCAGCAUUAGCCAUCCGCCGGCGACUUUGAGCAGCGCCACUCAGUCGAUGACGUCGCUCAGUCGCUUUACUAAUCCCACCACACCGACGGCGGCGACGGCCAGCGGUGGUGGCGGCGGAGCUUCUACCUCCCAUGGCGUUGCCGUUUCCACCAUUUCGCUGGGCAGCGCCACAGUGGCCGUCCAGGCCAACGGGUCGGACAUGAGUCGAGCCGAGGCCGAACGAGAUUCCAAUAAUCUCAGCUAGGGAAGGUGCGAGGUGCUGCUCUAAAUUCAAAUCAACGGCCAGGAAAAGUUGAAAAAAUCUCAUCUAUAGACAUUUCAGAUAAACAAAAAAUCUUUUGACAUUAUCAGAUGGCGGCACCUCGACACAUUCUCAGCAGCUAAGACUUUUUCUUCUUUUUUUUUUAAUUAUCUUUUAUUCAUUUCGAUUGCCAAUUUGAUCAGAAAUGGGUUCCUUUCCUCUCUCCUCCUGCAUCCGUCCUCGUGCGAUCCCCCACUAUUUUCGGCGUUCAUUUCAAAACCCGGUGAUCUCUAUUAAGUUAACAAUUAAUUUCGAAUUGAUUUUUGAGUUUUCCAUAUUUAAAAAAGUUUAUGUAAUUGAAGUUUAAAAAAAAUAAUAAUAAUGUUGUACAUAAUUAAAGCUGUCGGGAUUGAGGAUUUGACCUUUGUGGGUGGUUCUGUCUCGGCAAUCGAGUCCCGCAACUCUUUCCAAAUUUUCAAAAGGACCGCGGAAUUUGUUUUUUUCUCUGAAAUUCAAAUUGAACCAAAGAAAAACAAAUUAACGACCGUCCCGGAAAGAAUUCAAAAGGUGUUGCGGGAUGAUUGACUGAGCCCCCUUUGCCGAGACAGGAUCACACAGACAGGAUUGAUUCAAUCAUUUUUUUUUUUAAAUUUCUGUUUAAACUGAAAAAUAUAUCACCGUCAGCCAAAGGGAUAAAAAAUAAAUCAUUCGCUGUUGAUAUGAAAUGAAUUAAAAAGGGUUCGUUGUUAUUCCUAAAAAAAAAAUGAAUCAUUAUUAUGUGUGUUGUUAACUAUCAUCAAUAAGAGAAAAAUUCCUUGUAUCGAUUUCCCCCACCCACCCCACUUAGCACCUCGUACCCACCCCCACUUGUAAUAAUGUUAAAUCAAUUCAAUAAUUCAUUUCUCUCUCUCUCUCGUCUUAUUGACUCGGUUAAACUAAAUUGGACUCGCUCGCCGUUGCUUUUGUGUGUGUAAAUAAAAGAGAGGACUUCUCUGGACGAGAUGUAAUCCUGUACUAUAUACAUAUAUAUGCUACAUAUAUACAAAUAUAAAUUAAUUUCUAUAUUAUAA
rnacentral:misc_RNA from 1 species